rnacentral:rRNA from 1 species
CGAUUUUCUUCGGAGAAGAGCGGCGGACGGGUGAGUAACGCGUGGGUAACCUGCCCUGUACACACGGAUAACAUACCGAAAGGUAUGCUAAUACGAGAUAAUAUACUUUUAUCGCAUGGUAGAAGUAUCAAAGCUUUUGCGGUACAGGAUGGACCCGCGUCUGAUUAGCUAGUUGGUAAGGUAACGGCUUACCAAGGCGACGAUCAGUAGCCGACCUGAGAGGGUGAUCGGCCACAUUGGAACUGAGACACGGUCCAAACUCCUACGGGAGGCAGCAGUGGGGAAUAUUGCACAAUGGGCGAAAGCCUGAUGCAGCAACGCCGCGUGAGCGAUGAAGGCCUUCGGGUCGUAAAGCUCUGUCCUCAAGGAAGAUAAUGACGGUACUUGAGGAGGAAGCCCCGGCUAACUACGUGCCAGCAGCCGCGGUAAUACGUAGGGGGCUAGCGUUAUCCGGAAUUACUGGGCGUAAAGGGUGCGUAGGUGGUUUCUUAAGUCAGAGGUGAAAGGCUACGGCUCAACCGUAGUAAGCCUUUGAAACUGAGAAACUUGAGUGCAGGAGAGGAGAGUGGAAUUCCUAGUGUAACGGUGAAAUGCGUAGAUAUUAGGAGGAACACCAGUUGCGAAGGCGGCUCUCUGGACUGUAACUGACACUGAGGCACGAAA